rnacentral:rRNA from 1 species
AUUGAACGCUAGCGGGAUGCCUUACACAUGCAAGUCGAACGGCAGCACGGACUUCGGUCUGGUGGCGAGUGGCGAACGGGUGAGUAAUGUAUCGGAACGUGCCCAGUAGCGGGGGAUAACUACGCGAAAGCGUAGCUAAUACCGCAUACGCCCUCAGGGGGAAAGCAGGGGAUCGCAAGACCUUGGACUAUUUGAACGGCCGAUAUCGGAUUAGCUAGUUGGUGAGGUAAUGGCUCACCAAGGCCGCGAUCCGUAGCUGGUUUGAGAGGACGACCAGCCACACUGGGACUGAGACACGGCCCAGACUCCUACGGGAGGCAGCAGUGGGGAAUUUUGGACAAUGGGGGAACCCUGAUCCAGCCAUCCCGCGUGUGCGAUGAAGGCCUUCGGGUUGUAAAGCACUUUUGGCAGGAAAGAAACGGCGCGUGCUAAUACCAUGCGCAACUGACGGUACCUGCAGAAUAAGCACCGGCUAACUACGUGCCAGCCGCCGCCGUAA